AUAGGAAAAAAAUUUAAAAAA
rnacentral:piRNA from 1 species